rnacentral:lncRNA from 1 species
AUUCAUCUAUCAUUAUAGGCAGACAACACUAACAAAGAUAAAGUGCCAGACAUAUAAAAGAAAUUGAUUCAUCAUCUGUAACAUCUAUCCAUCCCGCAAUUCCAAUCAACCGAUUCAUUGAGUAACUCUUGGGUAAACUAUUAAACUAAUAAGAGCUGUAUCGUCUAACUUCAUUCAAAAAUGAAACUUGAAUUUUUAUAGAAUCAAAAUAGAAAUGAUUUUAGAAUUUGAUCAUUUCUUAGAUUCUGCUGAAGGCAGGUUAGUGUUCAGUGACAAUUCACGCUAACAUUACAUGAGAUGCGGCCGGGAGCGAGCCGGAUUUCGAAAUGAAAGUGAAAGAGUAAGCAAAAAAAUGUGAGCUCGCCGAGAUCGACAGGAAAGACAACUAAAACUCAAACUGCAGGAAAGAGAGAAAGAGGGGGAACUAGCGAAGGGACGAAAGCCCGACGAAGGCCUAUGCUACAGUAAGCAAAAAAGUAGGUUGAGGUCAAUUUGUAGUCAAUAUGUUUUAUACAAAAAGGAACCCAUGCAACGAUAGGAAAUCCUUUUUUUAGAGAGCCAAUGCCAGUCGUUUCGUUUAGUACGAGAUCGCUUCACACCUCGCGGUGCUUACCCCCCGUUUUUUGGUUCCCAUUGGGUUUACCUUGUUCACAGGUCGACCCCAGCUUGGGUGAAACUAAGUGGAGGUCCGACCGACUGAUGUUGAAGAAUCAGCGGGAGGUAGAUUCAUAGGUGUCUAUUUCACUGAAGAAUUGAUAAAAGCGCGUUCAGUACGGUAAACUCGGCCAAAAUAUGAGACCCGAAGGGCCCGGGCCAUCCUGGACUUGAACCAGAGACCUCGCCCGUGAAGUUCGAAGGAGGAAGCCAUGAAUGGAGGCACUCCCAAUCCACUUGUUGCUCGCUUGCUUUCGCUCCUCUCCUUAGCUUCGACGAGCUGGGACAUGGAAGUGAAAACCCUAAACUUGAAACCCUACCCUUCUUUGCUACUCACUAUCUAAGGAGCAAAUCCGAAGUCGGUUCUCAAGGCCCAGAAGCUCGGGGAUUGAAUACCCCUAUGUUCGCCUAAAGCAGAGGUUCUGAAAGACCUUGCUUGAUCCGUCUUCGGCUUCGCAGCCUUUUGUUUUGGGACAAUGGGUGCACGGAGAAUCGUCAAAUCUGACGGUAUGGUUGACCACAUUCCUGUUUUCAACCUCGGUAGGUCUUCGGUUCUGCUUAUCGAUCCGCUUCGACUUCACGCGAGCCGCUAAAUUUAGUUCGAGUUUAGGUGAAGGAAGUAUGACCGCCUUACCAAUAGUUGAAACUCAAUCGGGAGAUGGAUGGAAGUGUCCGAUUAUAGCACGACGCGCUGCUUCAAUGGCUCCGAUGCUUCUUCGGCCAAAUACGAUAUACAAGUGGGACCUGCACUAUGAGCAAGCUGUGCGAAAAACCGCCUUUUAGUUUAAUGUUUCUAUUCAGCGGAUGUGGUUAUUGGCAAGAACUCGACCAGAGAGGCUACUCGGGCAUAGGUGAAGGAACGAGAGCCUGUAUACAUAGGGAAAGUCGUGUGCAAUGAAAAGUGCAAGCACGGCUUGGGGAGGGAUCUUUACUUGUUUAGGAGAAAGUUGACUUUGAGAAAGAAAAGGGGCGCCCUAGCUGCUCGCCGGAGAAAGCCAGGUGCCUUAGGUAAGCUCUAUUUGGCCCGACGAAUUUCUUCGCUUCGAUUCCGCCCCUACCUAAGGCUAGCUCCUACUCCUCCUCCUGAUCUUUGCUUGCGGCAUCUCUAACUAUUCGGUUAGCGUCACGGAAGUUGCUGGCCGGCGGCCGCUCAACUGUUCGAGCGCAAUGCAGUGGUGUUGGUUCCCCAAUGACCAAUCCUCGCAUGAAUUGCUAAGGAUCCAAUAAGUCCAACAUUGAUUCCUUCAGAUGUGUCAAUUGGGCAAAUACGUCCAUAGUGACUAGGAUGGAUAUCUCGUAUCCGAAAACUAGCAGCCUUAAAACAAAAUAAAAAAUCAGAAAAAUGAUUCAUUCCCCUUUCUAAGAGGAGUAGGAUCUUUGGUUGAUCUGUCCUUCCCCCGCUCUAAAGUCUGUAUCUUGCCCCUAGUUACAACAUCGUAUUCGACUUCUAUCGCGGAGUCAACUGGCACCUUCUUAAAGCGCCUGCCCGGCUUUCAGGUCACUUGUGAAGGGAACAAAGCUUAGGGCGGGGACAAAGCUGGGGAUGGCAAGGUUCUUUAUCAAUGAUGCGGCAUUACCGGUCUCGCUCCUUUCACUUCCUCUUCAACAAGAUAUGACCCUUUUAGUGGCUAUAGUGGCGUACUUAGGUAAUGAAAUUCUCGACCAACCCUAUCUCCUUCAUUCGGAAGAGGAGCCUUAUAAAGAUCGUAUUGAUUCUUAUCAAAGAAAGACAGGAUUAACCGAGGCUGUUCAAACAGGCAUAGGCUAAAUAAACGGUAUUCCCGUAGCAGUUUCCUUUCUCUUUCUCCCUUGUAGCCGUUACCUGAAUUCGCGCAUUCGAUUUUUCUAUCUAAAAAAGAAUCGAUUUCAUUCAACCUUUGAUUCAAAGAACUGUGACGGAAUAAGGCGGCCAGAAGCGACGAGCAGUCGCGGUCGAAGCUUGGCUCUAGCCGAUAGGCUAGCAAGUAUCUGCUGCGCACCUCUAUUCCUCUUCUUCCGCUUAUUCAUCUUCUUUGGACUGACACUGAGAGACGAAAGCUAGGGGAGCGAAUGGGAUUAGAUACCAGAAUGAAAUAUUAUUUAAUCGUGGAAAUGCCAUGUCAGGCGCAGAUAAAAUGGGCGGGCACGGGCGGUCUGGUGUCCGAGCGAGUGAGAGCCUUGAUCCAAGGCCAGGUGCUGUCGCAAUCCAGGGAAGGCAGCGAAAUAAUGUCUGACUACAGAUAGAACAGAGUCAAUAGCGAAUAGGAAUGAAAUAAAAUAAAUCGAAAUAGAAAGAAAAGAAUCAAAUUGCAAAAGCAAAAAGGGGGGAUAUCUUUUUUUUUUUAUCGUCUUUUCAAGUCAGUCUUGUCCCGCCUGCUCGUUAGCAAGUGCCUCGGGCCCUGCCUCUCUUUUCCAACAAUCAAAGCUCGUGGGAAAGCUGCAGCAAAGGGAAAAGACUUUCACCAGUUUCUUGAGUGAGAAGCGGAUGUUGGUGAAAAAAGGAAGUUGAGUUCAUCUCAUUAAAACAUUAAAAGAAAAACUUCCUCUCUGUCGAGGAUUUUCCUCACUAAGCUUUCAGGACAAGGACUAUAAACGAUUGUAACAGAGACAGCCCCGUCUUCUCUUAGCUAUAUGCUAAAUACUAACUCCGCAAUUACCGGAAGGACUCCGUUUCAAAGAUGUGGUUGAGCAUUCCUUUAUUAUGGACGAAGAGCUCAAAGAACAAUUUCUCGGGCUAAACUAAAUCUAUUUGGAUAAAAUUAGUAAUGGCACUGACACUACUUUGUUUACAUUUCUGGAUACGUAUGUAGUUAGGACUUGGUUUCGUCAGCGGCAUUCUCCCUAGAAACAAUUACAUUAUGAACAAUUUGUUCUUUAAAAGCGCUCUCUCUCUUAUAACAAUCUUUCUUGGGCAUUUCUCUGUUAGAGUAAUGCCAAUUCUAAGAACUGGUAAGUGUAUCAUGCUCUUCCUUUUAGUGAUUCUGGGCUUGAUCCUGAUUUGGAGAUCUUUUGGUUUUCAUUCAAAAGGAAAAUAUCGGUUUAUUAAUCCGAUUCUGAUUUUCUUUUUUUUCUAUUUAUUUCUCUUUUUUCUAAAGAACUCUUUGCUAUCCCAUUUAGGGAUUUUGGGUUCUCACCUUCUCUCUGGGAUUUGCGUUUUGAGUGUCGGGGGAUCACUUCCUCUUCCGGGCCCUUCCAACCCCUCCUCCUCGGAAGAUUCAUCCGACCUCCAGGUCCUGUCGGAGCCUUGGCCCGUGACUCACAAUGUAGGCUAUGAAUCUUCGCUCCGAAAUCGGAUUUUUAGACUGGAAAAUUCAAAUAGCCCUUUUCUGCUCUCUAAAGAGAGGGGGGAGUAUUGGGCAGAAGUAAAGAAGGAACUCUACAAUUGUCCCUCUCAACGGGAAUAUAACCGAUUGCUCGAGUUCGAGAAUAGGGAUCUCCAGAUCCGGGAGCUGCGACACUCUUGCUAUUGUCAAUUUCAACGACUUUUUACUGAUCAUCCUGCCUUGGCAGAAAAUGCCGAUUCCAACCCCCAAGAAGCCUUACUGUACUUUUUUAAUGAGAAAGGCCAUGAACUUGACCAAGAGGGCGGAACCCCGUUAGUAAAAGACCGGAGAGAACUCCGCUUUUUGGAUCAACUUUUACAUGAUCUCCGAAAAAAUGGAAUAAACUCCGUCUAUUUCAAUAUUCCAUUUGGGUAAAUAGAUACGAGAUCUCGUCGUCGAAGUGACGUGAGAAAUGUUUGUUAUAUGUGCCUGAAGCUGCUAUAUUUGCUUUUUUUGCUAUACUUAGACGGACGAGUGGAAUGGAUCGGACGGGAGAGGAAUGGAAAGCCAGGAUCGCUUGGUAAGCAAGCAGGCACUAACUCCCAGUUUUUUCUCUUCUUUCUUUUUGAUUAGAGAUUUGAGAUUCCGUAAGUAACUCAGUGAGUGCUUUCUAAGAAGGGCUUGGAAGAAGAAAAUGAAAUAGGAACAACCGCGCUGGUCGUAAUUGAUCGACUUUCAUGCUAGUUCUUGCUCCAGCAUGAAAGUUCCAUUUCAGGGAAGGACGACGUACUAUGAUACUUUCCGUUUUGUCGAGCCCUGCUUUGGUCUCUGGUUUGAUGGUUGUACGUGCAAAAAAUCCGGUACAUUCCGUUUUGUUUCUCAUCCCAGUCUUUCGCAACACUUCAGGUUUACUUCUUUUGUUAGGUCUCGACUUCUUCGCUAUGAUCUUCCCAGUAGUUUAUAUAGGAGCUAUAGCCGUUUCAUUCCUAUUCGUUGUUAUGAUGUUCCAUAUUCAAAUAGCGGAGAUUCACGAAGAAGUAUUGCGCUAUUUACCAGUGAGUGGCAUUAUUGGACUUAUCUUUUGGUGGGAGAUGUUCUUUAUUUUAGAUAAUGAAAGCAUUCCAUUACUACCAACCCAAAGAAAUACGACCUCUCUGAGAUAUACGGUUUAUGCCGGAAAGGUACGAAGUUGGACUAAUUUGGAAACAUUGGGCAAUUUACUUUAUACCUACUAUUUCGUCUGGUUUUUGGUUUCUAGUCUUAUUUUAUUAGUAGCCAUGAUUGGGGCUAUAGUACUGACUAUGCAUAGGACUACUAAGGUGAAAAGACAGGAUGUAUUUCGACGAAAUGCUCUGGAUUCUAGGAGGACUAUAAUGAGGAGGACGACAGACCCGCUCACGACAAUAAGGAGAAGCAGUGGUUCGAAUCCACAUCGUGAGCUUAAGUAAGCCUUUUUGACUACUACACUUUGUUGAUGCAACGAACUCUUUCUAUUCCACGAGCCCUUUCUGCUUCCGAAACGAGAGAAAGACUUGAGAAAACACACUUCUAGUCGCGUGACUUGAAGCCGCACUUCUUUCGCUAGGGGCUUCCCAUUUCGAGUCUAUUCUAAUAGAAGUCGAUGGGACAACCCCAAGUCUAGCAAUUCCCCUGGAUGUUCCUAAAGGGUUGAAGGGCGCUUACCGAUGAGAGACUUGAACCCAAGGCUGCAAAAUGAACAUAACAUUACCAUGGCCCUAGGAUAGCCCUUUUUCCUGAGUCGGCUUGGUUGGAAAUGACCUCGACUAGGCUGACUUGAUAGUUUUGUUUCCUGCUUCACCCACUAGGAGAGAAAGAGGGAUGAGUACUACUAUAGGGCAGGAUUCAUCCUCUAGCAAUAGCUUCUUUAUCAUGGUAUAGGGGUUCUGGCAACCAAGAGUACUCCAACUCUUACGGAAAAGUAUUGGAAGUCGGAUUUGAAGACUGGAAAGCUUCCUUCUACGAUUCCAAACUCUGAAACGGAGUGAAAGAACCGAAUCUCCGAAAGGAGCAUUCAACUUCAUCAGUGCGGCUAAGCUUUGAACAAGAAAAAGUAUACGAUACGCGCGAGAAGAAAGAGAGUGAAUUAGAUAGAGUUACCUACAGAAAGCCAGACGAAGGAUGAGAAGGAAUGGGGUAAAAAGCCACCUGGCUAAGAAAGAUAAAAGCAGAAGAACAAGUGAAAAGGGCAUUCGGGAGAUAAGGUAAACUUUCCUUGCUUGGAAGCAGCUACAACAAAGACUGAUUAUGGACCUUAGAUCACUAAAGGAUAAGGCAGAAUCUAUCAAAUCAAGAGAAGGCUACACUUGCGUGUUUUCGCGCUUGGCGUAUGGUAGUGUUCCUACACCCCUUUCGUAUCCUUGACUCGAUAAAAAUACCCUUCGAACUUAGAUACGUAGUGAAUGAGUUGAAAAACGAAUAGCUUAUAGUUCUUUAGACUAUUAGACUCACUUCAAGUAUUCCGUUCGUUGAGUGAGUAUAACGAGUAAGACAACGCGAUUUUCCCACAAGUAUUUCCUCAUUGCAGAAAGCAGAUAUUUAUGUUUCUUCAAUCUUCAAACCAAAUUCAGAUUUCCUCAUAGGAGGGUGGGCUACUCUUUAUUCAUAUGAAUAAGGAUAUCUUUCCUUGCCAGCGUGAGGGAACAAGCAGAAAAACAAUAUACCGUUGUCGCGAAGUUGAUCUUCAGGUAAGUCACAUGACUCAUCCUCUUAGUCGAGCAUAGCUAACGCUACCAUGACGCUACGCCGCGCCUGCACUUCUAGUUAGAGAACGCACUAAAAGCAUACCUUAUCUCAGGGGUCGAAAGCCCUACAUUCUUUUUCAAUUCGGAUGGGCUUCCCCUUUUGUCUGGCCUUGUUUUGGCUUAAAGCAGAGCAGCGGACAAGGGAGAAAGAGAAAGGAGUAGCGCAAGCCGGCUAAGCUAUUGCCAUUGAUAAAAGAAGUGGAUUCUCAACUCCUACGAUAAGAGAGAGAGGUGGGAUUAGCGAAUCCAAGUCGACGUUUCCAGAUUUGGCAGAAGAAGCAGCGUUCAUUGACAGCCAAGCGGCAACCUACUCUUCUGCUUAUAUAAUACUUCUAUCUGGUUGGUAAGGAGGGAAAGCAGCCUCGCUCAGCGCGAAAUAGCGUAUAUAAUAUAGAAGUUCCACCUCUUUUUGACUCCUAGACCUAGAGUUCUCACCUAGAACAGAAGAAAGUCUCUUUAGGCACACUUCCCUAUACUUCUCCUUCCUUUCCUUUUAGAUCUGAGGUAGUACUAAUUAAUGCUUGAAUUGCUCCUAUUAGAAAGAGUUCCCCUCUUGGGUACGAAAGAAGGAUAUUCCUGGGCACAUCCCUUUGAUAGCUUUGUUUAGCCUCCUUUACUAUGUCAAUCCCUCCGUAUUGGUUAUGGCUUCAGCCGAUCCUCUUCUUGGUACUUCACCUAGUGGCUAAUUGAAAGAAGUGAAAAAAAAUCAUCUCAAUAGGGGCCUUACUGCCGUUCCCAGCUUAAGCGUCUACACCUCUCAACAAAGUGAAUCUUAUGGAACCUCCGAGAGGGACUUCUCUGAGUAAAGAGAUAAGUAAGGGUAAGAGUCAUUCCAAUUGAGUAGGUGAAGAGUCUCUUUCGAGCGAGAUCCUUUACCACGCCUAACUAAAUGAAAGAAAGUAAGAGAGAGAGUUGCCGCCUAUUUCAACAAUGAAAAUAAAGGACUUCCUUAUCCUAAGGCUGUCACUGAAUGAAUCUGGUAACUAAUGCCGCCAGAGAGGCUGAGGUGAGUAUCGUCGCAUCGCCUCCUCCACACUUCUUUUUCUUUUUUCGGCUUGAUAGCUAUGAAGUUGUUAUUUAUGCUUUAUAGCGUUGAAGUCGUUUUUCUAGCUAUGAAGUCUGCUUUUUGGGCAUAUCUUUAAGUUUACAGCAUUUCUAGCCUUUCAUUUCUUUUUAUUUUAGGCUUUAUAGCCUUGAAGUCGUUUUGAUAGCGUAGAAGUCCUUUCAUGCUUGAUAGCUCUAAGGCUUUUAUAGCGUUGAAGUCCUUUUUCUAGCUCUAAGGCUUUUGACGCUAUUCAGUCGUUUCAUGCUUGAUAGCUAUUCAGUCGUUUUGAUAGCUAUUCAGUCUUUUCAUGCAUCAAUGUCUAACAACAAUGCCUAUUUGUUAAUGGCCUCUGGGAUAAUUAUGUGAUGCUAUUAGAUCCCUAUCAAAGGCGAAAUUAAUAUCUCUAUGUGUAUGAAUUAUUCCCUAUAGAUUAACACUAAUUGGUAUAUACUUUUAGUGUAAGGCAGGUGUUUUUCUCGGUGGAUGGAUGGGAUAAAUGCCUAUAUUGCUUUAUAAUGUUAUUGUUAUGUUGAUGUUAUAUUAAAGAAUGAAAUCUAAAAAAGUUGCUUAGUCCAAUUCUUUAGAAUUGUCUUUCUCAUACUGUGUAAACG